rnacentral:rRNA from 1 species
CAGUAGCCGCGGUAAUACGAAGGGUGCAAGCGUUACUCGGAAUUACUGGGCGUAAAGCGUGCGUAGGUGGUGGUUUAAGUCCGUUGUGAAAGCCCUGGGCUCAACCUGGGAAUGGCAGUGGAUACUGGCUCGCUAGAGUGUGUCAGAGGAUGGUGGAAUUCCCGGUGUAGCGGUGAAAUGCGUAGAGAUCGGGAGGAACAUCAGUGGCGAAGGCGGCCAUCUGGGACAACACUGACGCUGAGGCACGAAAGCGUGGGGAGCAAACAGGAUUAGAUACCCGUGUAGUCCCUGUCUCUUAUAC